GAUGAACGCUGGCGGCGUGCCUAACACAUGCAAGUCGAGCGAUUUACUUCGGUAAAGAGCGGCGGACGGGUGAGUAACGCGUGGGUAACCUGCCCUAUACACACGGAUAACAUACCGAAAGGUAUGCUAAUACGAGAUAAUAUAAGAGAUUCACAUGGAUUUCUUAUCAAAGCUGAGGCGGUAUAGGAUGGACCCGCGUCUGAUUAGCUAGUUGGUAAGGUAACGGCUUACCAAGGCGACGAUCAGUAGCCGACCUGAGAGGGUGAUCGGCCACAUUGGAACUGAGACACGGUCCAAACUCCUACGGGAGGCAGCAGUGGGGAAUAUUGCACAAUGGGCGAAAGCCUGAUGCAGCAACGCCGCGUGAGUGAUGAAGGCCUUCGGGUCGUAAAACUCUGUCCUCAAGGAAGAUAAUGACGGUACUUGAGGAGGAAGCCCCGGCUAACUACGUGCCAGCCGCCGCCGUAAAAC
rnacentral:rRNA from 1 species